UACGAAGGGGGCGAGCGUUGUUCGGAAUUACUGGGCGUAAAGGGCGCGUAGGCGGCCGAUCAAGUCAGAUGUGAAAGUCCUGGGCUUAACCUGGGGACUGCAUUUGAUACUGAUUGGCUUGAAUGCAGGAGAGGAUAGCGGAAUUCCCAGUGUAGAGGUGAAAUUCGUAGAUAUUGGGAAGAACACCGGUGGCGAAGGCGGCUCUCUGGACCGAUACUGACGCUGAGGCGCGAAAGCGUGGGGAGCAAACAGG
rnacentral:rRNA from 1 species